GGGUAGGUGCCCGAGUGGCUAAAGGGGACGGACUGUAAAUCCGUUGACUUGCGUCUACGAAGGUUCGAAUCCUUCCCUGCCCACCA
rnacentral:tRNA from 1 species